rnacentral:rRNA from 1 species
CCCGUGGCGUGCGGUAGCUACGGCGAGUGAGCGGCAACAGCUCAAAUUUGAAAGCUAGCCUUCGGGUUCGCAUUGUAAUUUGUAGAGGAUGAUUUGGGGAAGCCGCCUGUCUAAGUUCCUUGGAACAGGACGUCAUAGAGGGUGAGAAUCCCGUAUGUGACAGGAAAUGGCACCCUAUGUAAAUCUCCUUCGACGAGUCGAGUUGUUUGGGAAUGCAGCUCUAAAUGGGAGGUAAAUUUCUUCUAAAGCUAAAUAUUGGCGAGAGACCGAUAGCGCACAAGUAGAGUGAUCGAAAGAUGAAAAGCACUUUGGAAAGAGAGUUAAAAAGCACGUGAAAUUGUUGAAAGGGAAGCGCUCGCAAUCAGACUUGUUUAAACUGUUCGGCCGGUCUUCUGACCGGUUUACUCAGUUUGGACAGGCCAGCAUCAGUUUCGGCGGCCGGAUAAAGGCUCUGGGAAUGUGGCCUCCACUUCGGUGGAGGUGUUAUAGCCCAGGGUGUAAUACGGCCAGCCGGGACUGAGGUCCGCGCUUCGGCUAGGAUGCUGGCGUAAUGGUUGUAAGCGACCCGUCUUGAACCACGGACCCA